GCUCCUGUAGCUCAGCGGUUUAGAGCGUCGUGCUUAUAACACGAAGGUCGCGAGUUCGAUCCUCGCCUGGAGCA
rnacentral:tRNA from 1 species